ACGCCACUCCCCGGAGACGCCGAACCGGCCGGCGGGGGCGCCCUCGGGGCCCGCCCCGCGCAUGGUGAGUUGUCGGCGCGCCUCGCCCGGCGCCCCCGCCGGUCCUGCCGGAAGAUGGUCAACGACCGGUGGAAGACCAUGGGCGGCGCUGCCCAACUUGAGGACCGGCCGCGCGACAAGCCGCAGACAAAUCAGCCCCCUUGCUGAGUCUCCGUUUCCUCACCUCUACAAUGGGCGUCUUAACUACCCACAAAAUCUCCACUCUGGGCGCUACCCUGUGCCAGGCACCUGGUCCUGAACCUGACCGCCUGAAUCUCCUCUGCAUCCUUCCCUUUAGCCAGGGCCCUGCAUACAGUAGGGGAUCAAUAAAGAUUCAUCUCCUGCA
rnacentral:sRNA from 1 species